ACGCUGGCGGCGUGCCUAACACAUGCAAGUCGAGCGAGGAGGAGGAAGCUUGCCUUCCGAAUCCGUAGCGGCGGACGGGUGAGUAACGCGUGAGCAACCUGCCUCAAACAGGGGGGAUAACGCAUCGAAAGAUGUGCUAAUACCGCGUAAGACCACAGUACCGCAUGGUACAGGGGUCAAAGGAGCAAUCCGGUUUAAGAUGGGCUCGCGUCCGAUUAGCUAGUUGGUGAGAUAACAGCCCACCAAGGCGACGAUCGGUAGCCGACCUGAGAGGGUGAUCGGCCACAUUGGAACUGAGACACGGUCCAGACUCCUACGGGAGGCAGCAGUGGGGAAUAUUGGGCAAUGGGCGAAAGCCUGACCCAGCAACGCCGCGUGAGGGAAGAAGGGUUUCGGCUCGUAAACCUCUGUCCUAUGGGACGAAGAAGUGACGGUACCAUAGGAGGAAGCCCCGGCUAACUACGUG
rnacentral:rRNA from 1 species